rnacentral:rRNA from 1 species
GAUGAACGCUGGCGGCGUGCCUAAUACAUGCAAGUCGAGCGAACAGACGAGGAGCUUGCUCCUCUGACGUUAGCGGCGGACGGGCGAGUAACACGUGGAUAACCUACCUCUAAUACUGGGAUAAUUUCGGGAAACCGGAGCCACUACCAGAUAAUAUAUUGAACCGCAUGGUUCAAUAGUGAAAGACGGUUUUGCUGUCACUUAUAGAUGGUUCCGCGCCGCAUUAGCUAGUUGGUAAGGUAACGGCUUACCAAGGCAACGAUGCGUAGCCGGUCUGAGAGGGUGAUCGGCCACACUGGAACUGAGACACGGUCCAGACUCCUACGGGAGGCAGCAGUAGGGAAUCUUCCGCAAUGGGCGAAAGCCUGACGGAGCAACGCCGCGUGAGUGAUGAAGGUCUUCGGAUCGUAAAACUCUGUUGUUAGGGAAGAACAAAUGUGUAAGUAACUAUGCACGUCUUGACGGUACCUAAUCAGAAAGCCACGGCUAACUACGUG